UUUUGCAUCCGCGUCAUUGGUGCGUCACUUCCGGGUUCCCGGUUGUUUAGCCGACAGGGUGAUUGUUUGCAUGCUGCUCUGGGCAACUCAUAUGCGGCGGUGCCUUCUGUUUGGUGAAUGCCAGCAGCGGCCGGUGUCCUCUCUCCCUCUCUCCUCCUUGAGAGUAUGUGUGUGUCCCUAACAGGUAUGUGUGUAUUAGUAUGGUCAACUACAGUAUUAUAAUAUCAAGCCGUAAUGCUAAC